UGUGGGGGCAGCUGCCCCCAUUGCCCCCACUGUGAGUCCGCCUCUGGAUAAGAUGCAGAUAAAUCAAACGGAUUCUAUUUCAAACACCUUAGAUUAAACACCUUUUGUUGGUGUCGAUUACAAAUCACAACCAAGGAAUAUUCUGUUUGAAAAUGAUAGCUUAAAGUCGUUCUCCGGAAAACGGAAAUGAAGACCGGUGUAUUUGAAAAGAUCGGGAGUUUGUGUGGAUUCGUCAAAGAAACAAUGGGCGGGAAAACGUUGAUAACACAUUUGUGGAAUGAACACGCGGAAUGAAGGAGAUCUAAAAAGGGCCACGUGUACUCCUUAGGAGUCUUUUAUUAGGAUUAUAUAUAUAUAUAUAUAUAUAUAUAUAUAUAUAUAUAUAUAUAUAUAUAUAUAUAUAUAUAUAUAUAUAUAUAUAUAUAUAUAUAUAUAUAUAUAUAUAUAUAAAAUAAGCUUGCUACUAGGUGUUGAAAUAAGUGGGACCAUGAAGACAUUACUAGAUUUUUUGCCCCGUAAUAUCCUUUAGGAAUGGACUUGGUAUUUUUUAAUGUCUCACGAAAUGUUGUUAGUUUAUAGUUGGUUUAUGUAUAUAUCUUUUGCAUGCUUGUUUUGUUUA